rnacentral:lncRNA from 1 species
AAAUUGUCAGAUCUUUCAAAAUAUUAUGAAUAUUCGCGUGGCCAUGAUUUUACAAUUAUCUACAAUCGAUGUGCAUACAAUUAAAUGGCUGCAAACUUUUCACCCAAAACGUGUAUUUCAUGUGGGAAUGUACUCAACUGUUUCUAGAAAUUUUACUAUGUUUUUCGCGCGAAAACUCAUGGAUAAGGAUUUUUUCCUUAUUACACGACACCCUUUGCUUUUCUGUGUUUGAAGUCCAUAAUUUCUGACUUUAGUAUAGCGAAGAACAGCAGCACUUGAAUAUGCUAUUCAUUUAAGUUUGAUUUGAGAAUACUAAAUAUAUUACAAGUGCUAUAGACUAUAGUAUAGGGAUGUCGCGUCAUGAAUUAUUUACAUUAAUUGUUAGUCGUUAAUGAAGCAGGGGCGGAUCUAGCGAUCUUUAAAAGGGGUUCCCAACCCAUUAUAAAAAGGGGGUUCCAACUUUUGUCCCGCC